UGCUCGGUGGCGUAGUGGCAACGCAUUCCGAAUUCCUACAUAGGUGUUUUGUUUUUCGGGGGUACGGAGUUCGAUUCUCUGCCGAGCCA